CCCUUAGAUGUCCUGGGCCGCACGCGCGCUACACUGAUGCAUGCAACGAGUUUAUAACCUUGGCCUGAAAGGUCUGGGUAAUCUUUUGAACGUGCAUCGUGAUAGGGAUAGAUUAUUGCAAUUGUUAAUCUUGAACGAGGAAUUCCUAGUAAACGCGAGUCAUCAGCUCGCAUUGAUUACGUCCCUGCCCUUUGUACACACCGCCCGUCGAACCUACCGAUUGAAUGGUUCGGUGAAGAUCUCGGACUUCGAUAUUUAUUCUUUAUUGAGUUUAUAUUGUGGGAAGUUAUCUAAACCUCAUCAUUUAGAGGAAGGUGAAGUCGUAACA
rnacentral:rRNA from 1 species